rnacentral:lncRNA from 7 species
UUCCCUGUCGAACGAAUGCCCUAGACUGAUCCCAGUCGUCUAUUUCAUAAUCUAUGGACACCUUGGCGUCAUCAACCUCAUGACGCCCAGGCACAGCCGUCGCGCCAUACCCAACACACACUCUCUCUCUCUCCUACCAAUCAACCGGCAUUCUACCCGGCCAAGACCAGCCAGCGUUCGCCACCGCCGUCCUCCGGAGGCGCACCGGUCCCGGGUCCGCUCCAACCCCACACUCUCGCGACAUCUCAACAAACCCCAAGAUACCGCAUAGGAAGAAACCGACUCAUCGUAGAUGAGUGCGCCGGUAGGGUCUGCCUGCUCCCGAUGACCAACGUCCCGCCGCCGACGACCCCAAAAUGCUCCGAGCUCCUGGCACACGAUCGGCCAAGCCCCAGACCCGGCACCAUAGUCACUACACCGCCGAAUGCUCUUCUCUCCACUCGUGUUGUCUAUGGCGAUGAUGAUGACGUUUGUGUUGUGUUUGAGGGAGAAAGGGGAGGAAUAGGUGGGCGCACAUUGUAAAUAUCCCAGGGAAGCCGCGGUGG